GAGAAGGCCAUCUCUAUCAUUGGAAAGACUUUAGCCCCUUUCGAUGGAGACAACUUAAUUACUUGUUUUGGUUUUGGUGAUGGCUUCUGUUGAAUCUUUACCUCCCCCCUACCCCUCUCUCAGAGCUAUUUUGAUAUCCAUAAAGGCAACUCUUUUUAGUAUGACAUCUCCAUCCUUGGAAGGCCUUUAUGUCUCCAAUUGAGGAGAUUCUUAACAAUGCUGGCAUAUGAAAGGUUGAUAAAGUUUCUGACAUUAUAAUGGGCUGAAAUUGCUUACCAAAAUUUUGAAAUUUCUUUUACUUUAAGUUCUCUGUUAUUGAGUGGUUUGGCUCCCCAAAAUCCCAAACAUGAUUGAUUUGCUAGUGGCAGUGAAGAAAUUAUCCCUAGGGCUUUGUUGUUAUACUUGAGACCAUGGAGUAUGCACCAUUUAGUCUCCAUUUUUUUUGUGGAAGGAGAGAAAUAAAUGCAUACCAUAAUGUACAUACUGAAUUAUUCAUCAUAAGAAAAUAUGUACAAACUGAUAGGGAUACCAUCAGAAAUGCCAAUGAAUCUGUUGUAAGGCUUAACUUUUCUUUUUGAAAAUUGGCUAUUCAGCUACUCUGAAUAAUGUAGGAUAAGUUAUGCAGCGAAGUACUAUAUUGUUGGUCAUUUCAGUCUCUAAGUUGUGAUGGGCAAGGUCUGUUGGAGAGUUUGAUAGCCCUUUUGGCUGAGUUUUGAAUUGUUACUAUGCUUCUUUUGGUGCUAAUAAAUUUGUUUUACUCACAAAAAAGAGAGGAAUUUUUAUUUUA